rnacentral:rRNA from 1 species
AUUGAACGCUGGCGGAAUGCUUUACACAUGCAAGUCGAGCGGCAGCGCGGGGCAACCUGGCGGCGAGCGGCGAACGGGUGAGUAAUACAUCGGAACGUGCCCAGACGUGGGGGAUAACUACUCGAAAGAGUGGCUAAUACCGCAUAUGAUCUAAGGAUGAAAGCGGGGGAUCGCAAGACCUCGCGCGUUUGGAGCGGCCGAUGGCAGAUGAGGUAGUUGGUGGGGUAAAGGCUUACCAAGCCUGCGAUCUGUAGCUGGUCUGAGAGGACGACCAGCCACACUGGGACUGAGCCACGGCCCAGACUCCUACGGGAGGCAGCAGUGGGGAAUUUUGGACAAUGGGCGAAAGCCUGAUCCAGCCAUUCCGCGUGCAGGAUGAAGGCCCUCGGGUUGUAAACUGCUUUUGUACAGAACGAAAAAGCUCUGGUUAAUCCCUGGAGUCCAUGACGGUACUGUAAGAAUAAGCACCGGCUAACUACGUGCCAGCCGCCGCGGUAAAAC